rnacentral:pre_miRNA from 1 species
UGCAAGUUACCCUGUAGACCCGGGCUUUUGUAGACCCGAAAGAGUCAGAAGCUCGUUUCUACAGGUUUCUUGACG